CCUACGGGAGGCAGCAGUGAGGAAUAUUGGUCAAUGGACGAGAGUCUGAACCAGCCACGUAGCGUGAAGGAUGACUGCCCUAUGGGUUGUAAACUUCUUUUAUAUGGGAAUAAAACGUUCCACGUGUGGGAUUUUGUAUGUACCAUAUGAAUAAGGAUCGGCUAACUCCGUGCCAGCAGCCGCGGUAAUACGGAGGAUCCGAGCGUUAUCCGGAUUUAUUGGGUUUAAAGGGAGCGUAGGGGGAUUGUUAAGUCAGUUGUGAAAGUCUGCGGCGUAACCGUAAAAUUGCAGUUGAAACUGGCAGUCUUGAGUACAGUAGAGGUGGGCGGAAUUCGUGGUGUAGCGGUGAAAUGCUUAGAUAUCACGAAGAACUCCGAUUGCGAAGGCAGUUCACUGGACUGCAACUGACACUGAGGCUCGAAAGUGUGGGUAUCAAACAGGAUUAGAUACCCGAGUAGUC
rnacentral:rRNA from 1 species